rnacentral:rRNA from 1 species
AGAGCGAACGCUGGCGGCAGGCUUAACACAUGCAAGUCGAGCGGGCGUAGCAAUACGUCAGCGGCAGACGGGUGAGUAACGCGUGGGAACAUACCUUUUGGUUCGGAACAACACAGGGAAACUUGUGCUAAUACCGGAUAAGCCCUUACGGGGAAAGAUUUAUCGCCGAAAGAUUGGCCCGCGUCUGAUUAGCUAGUUGGUGAGGUAACGGCUCACCAAGGCGACGAUCAGUAGCUGGUCUGAGAGGAUGAUCAGCCACAUUGGGACUGAGACACGGCCCAAACUCCUACGGGAGGCAGCAGUGGGGAAUAUUGGACAAUGGGCGCAAGCCUGAUCCAGCCAUGCCGCGUGAGUGAUGAAGGCCCUAGGGUUGUAAAGCUCUUUUGUGCGGGAAGAUAAUGACGGUACCGCAAGAAUAACGCCCCGGACUAACUUCGCGCCAGCAGCCGC